GCAAAAACUUAAAUUUUUCCAAUAAAAUCUAAAGAAAAUUUUCACCGUACAAAGUAUUUUUUAAAAAAUCAUCAAUCUAGUAAACCGCAAGGGCUAACCUAUAAGCCUUUUCAAGAAAUGAUAACCUCAUGUCCCUUUUGCAUCAUGGAGAAGCAACAAAACCCCAGUGAACCAUACUCCCGAAUGACUAUGAGCUACUAAUCUUUAAAAAUCAAUGUUUCAUAAUUGAUAAAGUAAUUAUUAGUAGGAGUAACAAGCCUUUCAUAUAGUCAUAUAGCUGGCUUUUCUUUAAAAGCAUCAAAGUACUAGCUUAUAGAUUAACCCUAAUUUAUUCACCUAUAAGACUUAGCCUAUUGAGGAUUAGCUCAAUAGGAUUUUAAAAAUACUCUACCAUCUUAACUUCAUAAGUAGGCUUAAAAGCAGCCAUCGAAUAACGUUUUAGUCUCUGAAACAGUAAUAAAUAAAUAUUAACACACAAGCAUUUUAAAAUUAAAGAAACUUGACAACAAAUCCUCUUGUUACUGAACAGGCAUUCUAUUAGUAUUAUACAAAAAUAACUGUUCAAUAUUACUAAAAUGAGUUGAAUCAAAAUAUUUUUCCUUUAAACCACCCAAAGCGAACUCGGCAAAUCAGUUCCCUGCCUGUUUACCAAAAACAUCGUCUUUGAAGUCUCUGAUAAAAGAUAAUGCCUGCCCAGUGAAACUUUAAACGGCCGCGUUAGCGUGAGCGUGCUAAGGUAGCGUAAUAAUUAGCCUUUUAAUUGGAGGCCAGUGAAUGGCAAGACUAGGAACACCUUUACUUUGUGGUGUCAAAAAAACUUUUCGUUUAAGUGAAAAGACUUAGAUAACAAAGGAAGACGAAAAGACCCCGCGGAGCUUUACCUCUUCUCGCGCUUCUGUUUACACACUUAAAAGUGCUUAAGGUUUGAUUGGGGCAAUCUCGGAAUCAUCAAAGCUUCCGAUUCUUUAGAAAUCACAUCUAAAACUUACUAAGGACCAAAAAGAAGCUACCCCGGGGAUAACAGCGUAAUCCAACUCAAGAGUACAUAUCGAAAGUUGGGUUUGCGACCUCGAUGUUGGCUUAAGGAUAUCCACAUUAGUGCAACCGCUAUGACAGGAUAGUCUGUUCGACUAUUAUACCCUUACACGAGCUGAGUUAAGACCGGCGUAAGCUAGGUUGGUUUCUAUCUCCUUUAUCUUAAAUAUCUUCUUGAUUGUACGAAAGGACCCCAAGAGAUGCAUAUCUAAAAAGCAUUUUUAGUAAAUCAAUUUUUAAUUUUUAC
rnacentral:rRNA from 1 species